rnacentral:lncRNA from 1 species
UCGGGUUAACGGGCACCUACGGGUCGCCCGUGCCCGUUAACAGCAAUCACAAUGGUAUAGUUCAAUAUCCUUCAAGCACUAAAGCUACAUGUUCACUGUUCAGCACCUCAGCUCAUGGAUGAGCAUGAUCAAACCCCAAGGUCACUAGACAAUGCCUAAAUAGCAAUACAUUAAAACGACAAGUCUAACAGCCAUCCAAACCAACUCCAGCGGCAGUAUUAAAAGUUCAUUAAUCAUUACAAGUUCAUAAUCCACAAAUCAAUCACAAUAAAGCCAAAAGGAGGGGCAUCAUUCAACAAUUGUUCCUUAACGCGUCGCUUAUUGGCAGCAGAAACUUCAGCCCUCAAUUUGUCCACGCCCACGUGUGCACACGCUGCUUCAGAUCAGAGGACCCAACGAUGAUAGCAGCUUGCAAGGCUCCGGCACAGGCAGAGGAAGAGCCAGUUUAGCAGGGCUUCGGCUUCGGCUCCUACCGCGGCUUCUGCCGGAGCCCUACCCCGAGAGAGCGGCGGCGACGGCGGGUUGGAAAGAGGAGCAAUGUCUGGAGAGCGGAUGGAGGCAGUGCGGCGUCGAUGAAGCAGAACCGAAGCGGUGUUGCCCCCCCCCCCCCCACCCCACCCCACCCCGUUCCAUCCAUGGCUGGUGCAAGCAUGGUCCGAUGACCUGACCACAGCCGGCAGCAACAUGUCCCUUCACGUCUGGGUGGGUGGUAGCAACAACGGAGCAGCAGUAGCAGCUCCCGUGUGGGGGCAGCGGUGGAGCGUAGGGUAGCAACAGUAGCGCACGGCGAGAGAGUGGCGGUGGGGAACAGAGCGGGUAGUGGCGUGCCUGGACUGGCUGCGUGAAGAAAGGAUAAGGGAAGAAGAACAGAUAAUAAGAAAGGAAAA